AUUGAACGCUGGCGGCAUGCCUUACACAUGCAAGUCGAACGGCAGCACGGGGGCAACCCUGGUGGCGAGUGGCGAACGGGUGAGUAAUGCAUCGGAACGUGCCCUGAAGUGGGGGAUAACGUAGCGAAAGUUACGCUAAUACCGCAUAUUCUGUGAGCAGGAAAGCAGGGGAUCGCAAGACCUUGCGCUUUAGGAGCGGCCGAUGUCGGAUUAGCUAGUUGGUGGGGUAAGAGCUCACCAAGGCGACGAUCCGUAGCGGGUCUGAGAGGAUGAUCCGCCACACUGGGACUGAGACACGGCCCAGACUCCUACGGGAGGCGGCAGUGGGGAAUUUUGGACAAUGGGCGCAAGCCUGAUCCAGCCAUGCCGCGUGAGUGAAGAAGGCCUUCGGGUUGUAAAGCUCUUUCGGCGGGGAAGAAAUUGCACUCGUUAAUACCGGGUGUAGAUGACGGUACCCGCAUAAGAAGCACCGGCUAACUACGUGCCAGCCGCCGCGGUAACAC
rnacentral:rRNA from 1 species